GGCUUGUUCUCCAGCAAGGUGGGCAACGCUCCAGAGACAUUGCUUUUUCUUCAUGAGGUUUCUUUGGCUAGGAGCAGUGAAUCAGCAGAGAAGUGAAUUUUAAAUAUGAAUCUUGAUCUGCAUCUGUGAAAGAAUGUAGAGCUGAUCUUGGAAAAGGAGAAGAAAUGAUCAAAUGGAGUUUCAGAAAAGGUUAUUCGGUCACACACAAAGUGUGUGAGAGACAAGAAUCCUCAGACCAUCCUAGACAAAUGACUAUCAAAUUUUGCUUAAACGCAGCUAUGAUUUCAAGAGCUUUGGAGACUUCAGGACUGUAUUGAAGAUAAAUGAAUUGACAAAGAAAAGGAACUUGGAAAUGACCUCAGACAGCAAAUUAACCUUGAUACAUUCAGAACAGUAACCUAAUACAGUUACAAUUUUAUUCCUGAUCUUUUGUAUUUGCCUUUAAUAUGAACAAUUCAUCAACAGAUAUGACGGUUCAUGCAUUUAAAAAGUAGAAAUCUGCAAAAGAGUUUGGACAUUGCACUUUCCACCUAAAUGAAAAAUGAAAACACUACUGAUCUAAUUUCAAGAAUUGCCAUUAUUAACAACCACCAUACCUGCUCACCCAUCCUUCAACAAAUAAACAUUAUACUUAAUAGAAUAAGUACAUACAUCAUCCCAGUUUCACAUAUGCUAAAUCUCAUUUAUGAAUAUUUUCUUUCCCUUAUUAAUGAAAAGCUUUGCUGUAAUGACUUUGCAGGAUAAACAACAGUUUUUGAAAAUCAACAGUCUAACAAGAUGGAAUUAUAAUUUCCUAGUAUUGCUGAGAAAAUGCAGGUGUUAAUGUGAUAAUUUAUGUAAGUGUGAAAUAUGGCAUCUUUACUGUAUGGAUUGAUCAUGUAAACAGUUUUUUUUUCAUUAUAACAUUGAGCAUUAUUGCUUUAUUAAAAGGUUUAUUAGUAUAA